rnacentral:lncRNA from 1 species
ACUAAUCAUUAGGGAGCUUGUCAGAAUUCAAAAUCUGACUCAGUGGGUCUGGAGUGGUGUCCGAGAUUUAACAAGCUCCCAGGUGAUGUUGAUGCUGCUGGUUGGCAUUUGAGUAGCAAAGCUGUGCCGUAUUUAAAGAAUUAGCCCUAACUACCAAUAUGAAAACUUUACAUCCCUGAAUCUUCAAUUACUCUGAGGUGACACUACUAUUAUUCUGGCUUCACAGUCGAGAAGGCACUGAGAAGUGAACUUUCCAGAGAUCACAGAGCUGAGAUGUGGGAAGGCAGGAUUCAAACUUAGGUUGACUGACUGCAGGGCAUUUUCAACUGUUUGCCUCCCAAUAUUAUCUCAAUUAAUAGGUAACGAGAGUUCGAAGCCGGGUCCAGAGCUAUCUUCUGUAACAUUCUUCUGGGUCGAGUCCCUGCCCCGCUACGAGACUAUACGUAACAUGGACCUGGAAAAGCUUAAAAAUAUGAAGAGGAUUGAACUGGCUGCCAUCUGUGCAUCUUCAUUUAUGAAAACACUCCUCAUAGACUUAAAACAAAUGACAGAGAACAAAUUAGUCAGCUUCUUCUAAAAUACAGUGGUCUCCCCUUACCCUCAGUUUCACUUUCUGCAGUCAACUGCAGUCCGAAAAUACUACAUACAAUUAGAUAUUCGGAGAGAGAGACACCACAUUUACAUAAAUGUUAUUUCAGUAUACUGUUAUAAUUGUUCUAUUUUUAUUAGUUGUUGUUGUUACUGUGCCUAACUUACACAUUAAACUUUAUCACAGGUAUGUAUGUAUAGGAAAAAACAUAGACUAUAUAGGAUUUGGUACUAUCCACGGUUUCAGGCAUCCACUGGGGGUCUUGGAACGCAUCCCCCUCAGAUAAGGGGGGACUACUGUAAACAGAAAAUAACAACAAUUCAAAUUGUUAAAAACAAUUCUUGAAAGUUAUCCUUUACAAUAGAUUAAUAUAUAUGAUCUGAGCUGAAAGAAUGGCAAGCAAUGGAGACAAUAUUUCUCUUCUGUUUCUAGUAGAUAUUUUCAAUUUUAAGCAUAGUUUUAAAAAGUACAACCCUCUUUUAAGGGCUUAAACCAAGGUGGCUGUGCUGAUUGGCUUAGCUGGCUAGUUCACAGUGCCAAGGACAGGGUUUCAAUCUCAUUCUUCUCAGUUGUCCUGCCAGAGAUUGUUCUUUCAGACCAGGCCAGCCAUUUGACAGAUGUAAGCCACUGGCCUCAAGGAACACAAGCCAGACAGUGGUGGUCAAUGCAAACCUUGAGCAUCACUGGAAAAAUUAAGCAGGUGUCCUACUGCAUUAUUUCCAUACAUAGAAAAACCACAGAAAUACAUUCUAUUUUUAAAGAGUUGUUUUUCAACUAUUAAUACCUAUAAGGUUUAAAAAUAUUUUCAGAGAAAAAAAAUUUAGCAACUAGAAUUUAUAAUGCUACCAUUUACUAUCAUUAUUUGUCCUUCACUUCAUUUGUCACCUUACCAGAGAAUUCCUUGCCACUCUCAUCUCCUUAAUCUGCUUAUUUUUCUUCUUACUACUUUCCACUAACUGAUGUUAUAUUAAAUAUUUAUUUAUUUGGUGUCUGCCUCUCCCAACUAGAAUGUGAGCUGCCUGACAGAGCAAGGCCUUAGCUUGGUGUGUGUUUCUGGUAUAUCUUCAGGGCCCAGAACAGGGCCUGGCACACCCACAACUGAAUAAACUUUUGAUGAAUUCUGUCACAUAUUUAUUACAGGAGCUUAAUUCAUGGAUAUCUUUAACAGGACAUCAAAAACAGUAGAUCAUUUACAAGCCAAGAACAUACUGCUAACUAUUGAACCAGAAUGUAUUUGUUGUCUAUAGGCAGCAGCCUAUAUAGCAAAAGAACUCAAGACUUUUGACAUAGCCCUUCCAAGUUUCAAAGGUGUGCAACAUCUUCACCAUUUAUUUCCAUGGGAUCAUUCAAUGUGGGUGACAUUUAGACACUGAAAGCAGGGCAGUGGGACUGGCUAUUCAAUUCAUCCUCAGUAAUAAAAUCUAAAAUUAUCAAAA